GACGAACCGUGCGAACGUUGUUCGGAAUCACUGGGCUUAAAGGGCGCGUAGGCGGGCUCGCAAGUCAGGGGUGAAAGCCCACGGCUCAACCGUGGAAGUGCCUUUGAUACUGCGGGCCUUGAGGGAGGUAGGGGCGUGCGGAGCUUCCGGUGGAGCGGUGAAAUGCGUAGAUAUCGGAAGGAACACCGGUGGCGAAAGCGGCGCGCUGGACCUCUUCUGACGCUGAGGCGCGAAAGCCAGGGGAGCAAACGGG
rnacentral:rRNA from 1 species